ensembl:lncRNA
GAGAGAGAGAGAGAGGCAGGUUGAGGUUUCCAGGGUCAGAGACGUCCCGUGUGAGAGAGAGAGAGAGGCAGGUUGAGGUUUCCAGGAUCAGAGACGUCCCGUGUGAGAGAGAGAGAGAGAGGCAGGUUGAGGUUUCCAGGGUCAGAGACGUCCCGUGUGAGAGAGAGACAGAUUGAGGUUUCCAGGGUCAGAGACGUCCCGUGUGAGAGAGAGACAGGUUGAGGUUUCCAGGAUCAGAGACGUCCCGUGUGAGAGAGAGAGAGAGAGAGAGAGAGAGACAGGUUGAGGUUUCCAGGAUCAGAGACGUCCCGUGAGAGAGAGAGAGAGAGAGAGAGAGAGACAGGUUGAGGUUUCCAGGAUCAGAGACGUCCCGUGUGAGAGAGAGAGACAGGUUGAGGUUUCCAGGAUCAGAGACGUCCCGUGAGAGAGAGAGAGACAGGUUGAGGUUUCCAGGAUCAGAGACGUCCCGUGUGAGAGAGAGAGACAGGUUGAGGUUUCCAGGGUCAGAGACGUCCCGUGUGAGAGAGAGACAGGUUGAGGUUUCCAGGAUCAGAGACGUCCCAAAGUUG